CCUACGGGAGGCAGCAGUGGGGAAUAUUGCACAAUGGGGGAAACCCUGAUGCAGCGACGCCGCGUGAGUGAAGAAGUAAUUCGUUAUGUAAAGCUCUAUCAGCAGGGAAGAAAAUGACGGUACCUGAGUAAGAAGCCACGGCUAACUACGUGCCAGCAGCCGCGGUAAUACGGAGGGGGCAAGCGUUAUCCGGAUUUACUGGGUGUAAAGGGAGCGUAGACGGCAGUGCAAGUCUGGAGUGAAAGGGGGGGGCUCAACCCCCGGACUGCUCUGGAAACUGUACGGCUGGAGUGCAGGAGAGGUAAGUGGAAUUCCUAGUGUAGCGGUGAAAUGCGUAGAUAGUAGGAGGAACACCAGUGGCGAAGGCGGCUUACUGGACUGUAACUGACGUUGAGGCUCGAAAGCGUGGGGAGCAAACAGGAUUAGAUACCCCAGUAGUC
rnacentral:rRNA from 1 species